CUUUCCCAAUUUUCUCUCUCAGCCGUCUCUAUCUCUCUAAGCUAGGUCUCACUGCGUUCCCUCUUCUCUCUGUGUUCUGUCUCAAAAGUUGACUGUGAAUGGCAGUAUUGAAGCGGUGGAGUGGUAACAGUGACGGUGAACAAGCAGUAUUGAAGGUCAAUUUCACUGAACCGUGACUUUGUUCCAGAUUCCCAUCAAAGGUCAAUUUCACUGACGGUGAACAAGCGGUAUUUUUCUCGCUACUGCAGUUUGGAGGUACAUGACUUUUGCCUGUGAGCCUUGAGAUUUACAUGGAAACAACAUGAUGCAGAGUAUAAGCUAGUGAAUCGUGUAGCGGCUAGAAGGAACUUGUGUUUGAAAGGAUAAAGGCUUCAAUGUAGCGGGUUGAAUUACUUGAGGCUCGAAUUACUAUCAUAGCUAAUAAAGCAUUAAGGCUCAGACCCUUAGGAUAGUAGACGUCCACGUUAGGCUCUAUUACCGUUUCAGCUGAUAUUUUGGUGAGCUCCAACUCUCUCUAGAGCCAGUCUAUGCCUAGUAUAGUAUUAAUUAUAGGUACAGGCCUCUGGUUGGACAUGACGGUCUUAAUACCCACUAGUCAUACUGACUAGAGGCUUCAUAGACAUCGUCUAGUAAUGUAUAGUUUUGUUAAUGUAACUCCCUCGUGUACAUAUGCAAUGCUUAUCGAGUAUCCUACUCAUUAUUAUCUUAUAACCUCGUAUACGUCAUAAUGUUUGUAGAGUAAGUGUAUACGGUUCUUCUCCAUCAUUAUCGUUUUGAGGCAUGACAAUCAGUAGAGACAUAAGCAAAUGCUCGAGAGCAAACAUACAUGAAUUGCUCACUCUACGAUGGAAUUAGAAUUUAUCGCAUUAGAUAAAGCCGGUGAAGAAGCAGAAUGACUCCGAAAUUUCUUGAAAGAUAUUCCUUAUUGGACCAAACCAUUCGCGCCAGUAUUUAUACACUAUAAUAGUCAUACAACAAUAGGUAGGGUAGGGAUCCUGAUGUACAAUAAUAAAUCUCAUCACAUAAGACGGAGACAUAACACCAUUAGAGAACUUCUCUCUAGUAGAAUUAUCAUUGUUGACUAUGUAAAGUCAAAGGUAAUGUGUCAGAUCCACCUACAAAAGGCCUAUCUAAAGAAGAAGUUGAAAGGACAUCCAAGGAAAUGAGUUUACAGCCUAGGACAAGUCAACAUAGCGGUAACUCUAUCUAGCAGACUAAAGAUCUCAAGAGUUAGAUUCAAGGAGAUCAAACAAAGUUGUGUCUGACAGGCUCAACAUUGUCAAAAUACCCAACCCAUUCUCAUGAUGUAAAUAAUGUUUAGUAAACAACGAUAAGACUUAAGGUGAAAAAUCU